UACGGAGGGUGCGAGCGUUGUCCGGAAUCACUGGGCGUAAAGGGCGCGUAGGCGGCCUGAUAAGUAGGGGGUGAAAUCCUGCGGCUUAACCGCAGGGCUGCCUUCUAAACUGUCAGGCUAGAGCACGGUAGAGGCAGAUGGAAUUCCCGGUGUAGCGGUGGAAUGCGUAGAGAUCGGGAAGAACAUCGGUGGCGAAGGCGGCCAGCUGGGCCAUUGCUGACGCUGAUGCGCGACAGCGUGGGGAGCAAACAGG
rnacentral:rRNA from 1 species